GACGAGGGACCUAGCGUUGUUCGGAAUCAUUGGGCGUAAAGCGGAUGUAGGUGGCUUUGUAAGUCAGGUGUGAAAGCCCUGGGCUCAACCCAGGAAGUGCAUUUGAUACUGCGAAGCUUGAGUGCUAGAGAGGUUACUAGAAUACCUGGUGUAGUGGUGAAAUGCGUAGAUAUCAAGUGGAACACCAGUGGCGAAGGCGAAUCCCUGGAAAAUACCUGACACUGAGGCACGAAAGCUAGGGGAGCAAACAGG
rnacentral:rRNA from 1 species